CAAUAGCGUAUAUUAAAGUUGUUGCAGUUAAAAAGCUCGUAGUUGAAUUUUUGCUUGCCGCCGAUGUCGGAACUUCUGUACGUUCGGCGGCGUGCAUCCUUGGGUGGAACCUGUGUGGCAUUAGGUUGUCGUGCAGGGGAUGCUCAUCGUUUACUGUGAAAAAAUUAGAGUGUUCAAAGCAGGCUUACGCCGUUGAAUAUAUUAGCAUGGAAUAAUAAGAUAGGACCUUGGUACUAUUUUGUUGGUUUGCGCACCGAGGUAAUGAUUAACAGGGACAGUUGGGGGUAUUCGUAUUCCAUUGUCAGAGGUGAAAUUCUUGGAUUUCUGGAAGACGAACUACUGCGAAAGCAUUUACCAAGGAUGUUUUCAUUAA
rnacentral:rRNA from 1 species